rnacentral:rRNA from 1 species
UACGGGGGGGGCAAGCGUUGUUCGGAAUUACUGGGCGUAAAGGGCUCGUAGGUGGCCAACUAAGUCAGACGUGAAAUCCCCAGGCUUAACCUGGGAACUGCGUCUGAUACUGGAUGGCUUGAAUUCGGGAGAGGGAUGCAGAAUUCCAGGUGUAGCGGUGAAAUGCGUAGAUAUUGGGAGGAACACCGGUGGCGAAGGCGGCUACCUGGACCGGUUCUGACACUGAGGAGCGAAAGCCAGGGGAGCAAACAGG